rnacentral:rRNA from 1 species
GACGAACGCUGGCGGCGUGCUUAACACAUGCAAGUCGAACGGUAAGGCCCUUCGGGGUACACGAGUGGCGAACGGGUGAGUAACACGUGGGUGAUCUGCCCUGCACUUCGGGAUAAGCCUGGGAAACUGGGUCUAAUACCGGAUAGGACCACUGCCUGCAUGGGUGGUGGUGGAAAGCUUUUGCGGUGUGGGAUGGGCCCGCGGGCUAUCAGCUUGUUGGUGGGGUGAUGGUCUACCAAGGCGACGACGGGUAGCCGGCCUGAGAGGGUGACCGGCCACACUGGGACUGAGAUACGGCCCAGACUCCUACGGGAGGCAGCAGUGGGGAAUAUUGCACAAUGGGCGCAAGCCUGAUGCAGCGACGCCGCGUGAGGGAUGACGGCCUUCGGGUUGUAAACCUCUUUCAGCACCGACGAAGCGCAAGUGACGGUAGGUGCAGAAGAAGGACCGGCCAACUACGUGCCAGCAGCCGCGGUAA